GACAGAGGGGGCAAGCGUUGCUCGGAAUUACUGGGCGUAAAGGGCGCGUAGGCGGCCUGUUAAGUCGAACGUGAAAUCCCCGGGCUCAACCCGGGAACUGCGUCCGAUACUGGCAGGCUUGAAUUCGGGAGAGGGAUGCGGAAUUCCAGGUGUAGCGGUGAAAUGCGUAGAUAUCUGGAGGAACACCGGUGGCGAAGGCGGCAUCCUGGACCGAGAUUGACGCUGAGGCGCGAAAGCC
rnacentral:rRNA from 1 species